rnacentral:rRNA from 1 species
AGUAAUGUAUGGGGAUCUGCCUGAUGGGCGGGGGAUAACUACUGGAAACGGUAGCUAAUACCGCAUAAUGUCUGCGGACCAAAGCGGGGGACCUCCGGGCCUCGCGCCAUCAGAUGAACCCAUAUGGGAUUAGCUUGUAGGUAAGGUAACGGCUUACCUAGGCGACGAUCCCUAGCUGGUCUGAGAGGAUGAUCAGCCACACUGGGACUGAGACACGGCCCAG